CUACAGGCUUAACACAUGCAAGUCGAGGGGCAGCAUGACGAUAGCUUGCUAUUGUUGAUGGCGACCGGCGCACGGGUGAGUAACGCGUAUCCAACCUGCCCUUGUCCAUCGGAUAACCCGUCGAAAGGCGGCCUAACACGAUAUGCAGUCCACAGAAGGCAUCUGACGCGGACGAAAUGUAAAGGAGAAGGAUGGGGAUGCGUCUGAUUAGCUUGUUGGCGGGGUAACGGCCCACCAAGGCGACGAUCAGUAGGGGUUCUGAGAGGAAGGUCCCCCACAUUGGAACUGAGACACGGUCCAAACUCCUACGGGAGGCAGCAGUGAGGAAUAUUGGUCAAUGGGCGAGAGCCUGAACCAGCCAAGUAGCGUGCAGGAAGACGGCCCUAUGGGUUGUGAACUGCUUUUAUGCGGGGAUAAAGUGGGCCACGUGUGGCUUAUUGCAGGUACCGCAUGAAUAAGGACCGGCUAAUUCCGUGCCAGCAGCCGCGGUAAUACGGAAGGUCCGGGCGUUAUCCGGAUUUAUUGGGUUUAAAGGGAGCGUAGGCCGUCUGGUAAGCGUGUUGUGAAAUGUCGGGGCUCAACCUGGGCAUUGCAGCGCGAACUGUCAGACUUGAGUGCGCGGGAAGUAGGCGGAAUUCGUCGUGUAGCGGUGAAAUGCUUAGAUAUGACGAAGAACUCCGAUUGCGAAGGCAGCCUGCUGUAGCGCAACUGACGCUGAAGCUCGAAAGCGUGGGUAUCGAACAGGAUUAGAUACCCUGGUAGUCCACGCGGUAAACGAUGGAUGCUCGCUGUUUGCGUCUGACGUAAGCGGCCAAGCGAAAGCGUUAAGCAUCCCACC
rnacentral:rRNA from 1 species